rnacentral:lncRNA from 1 species
UCAUCACGGGUAGGGAAAAUCUGUUCAAUGUCGCAUACCCAACACACAAGGCAUAAACAAGGGUGAUCAAGACAUAAUAAGAAUUGAUAUAUUACACUUUCAAAACAAUGCAAAAAUCUGUUCAAAGAAUACCUGAUCAGUUGUAAAUAAAUGCGAGACAUUUAUACUUAUACACGGGGGUACAAAUGCUGGUGGUGGCACCUCUUCAGGUUGAGCAUUGUUCAAUCCAACUUCAAUCAAUUGGGAUUCAUGAAAUAAAAAUGAUUCUGUCAUCCCUGGAAGAGAAUACGGAACUUUAUUAUCCAUAUUGCAUACGGAACUUUAUAAUUCGUAUUUAAUACGGAAAUUUAUAAUUCGUAUUGAAUACGGUAUAUUAAUUUUCGUAUAGACUCCGAAACUUUAUAUUCCGUAUUUUAACACAUCUCAGAAUUCAGAAAAUCAUCAUUCUAACUACUUAAUCUACUUAAUCUAACUACUUAAUCUAACAACUUCAACUACUUAAACUAACAACAUACAACAAACAACUAACAACACUUACCUCAAAUGCUAUCUUUUUGCAUCCAAUGGUGGAGAGCUUGCCAAUGAAGGAGUUGGUGGUGGUGGUAGGAAGAAUGGAAGUGAGGAUGAAAGUGAGGUAGGAGAGGGUGAGAGAGAGGGUGGUCUGGAGGCAUUGAGGGGGUUAAGGGG